ensembl:lncRNA
UCUUCGUAGGAACCCUCGGGUGGCGGGGGGGGCGAGGAGCCCCGUGCCUUUCUCUGAGGGGGGCGGGGGGGUCCCCAAGGGGACCACAGGGGACGGAUGGGAGCUCACUCACACCCAGCGCUUCCCAGAGCCGCCGUGCAGGGAUGGCUGCACCCAGACCCCCUCCUCCCCCCCCCCAGCUUUCCUCCCCCCAUCCUUACCCCCACCUGUGAGCUCUGGGUGCUGCCCUGGAGACGCUCACACGCUCUCCCUCCUCUUGCAUCCAUCACUGCAGCUCCUGGGGGGGAUUUUGGGAGGGGGGGGUUGGAGCAGGAUUGCAAGCAGUGCAGUGAGCAGGACGGGGAGCAGCUCGGAGCUCGGUGCACAGCACAACUCACCUGCACCACCCCGGCACUGCCGGGUCCCCGAGGAAGGCGAGAGGCAGCGCAUCAUCAUGUACUCCGCAUCCUCUGCUGCUGCUGCUGCUGGAGGGGGGGGGAUUUGAGUCACGGCCCCCCCAGCACCCCCUGUUGCUCCCUGUUGCACUCACCUGCCGGGCCCUGCAGCCGUUGCAGCAGCUCUCCCACCGACUGCUUCUUGGCUCGGGCUGCGGCGCUGAGGUUCUCCCGGUCGAGGAGGAGCAGGAAGGAGCUCAGGUCGGCCAGCAGCGCCUCCAGGUCUGCAGGGGGAGCAGCGUGGCAGCCCCAACCCCGGGGAAAAUCCCACCACUGCUGGCCCCCACACGGGUCGGUUGUGGGUUGGGUCCCAAAGUGCUGCUCCAGGAGGGAGGGGAGCGCAGCGCAUGGGAGCUGCAUGGAGGCCGCUCCGUGCGUGCAAAAAAUGGGAGCACGGAGGGGGGUCUCGGGGGUCCUGCAGCAGCAGCAGGGCCAGGCACCGCUGUUGGUGCCUGCAUCCCUGCAGCAAUGCAUCCCCAUUACAUCCCCAUUGCAUCCCCAUGGUGCCUGCAUCCCUGCACCAAUGCACCCCCAUUGCAUCCCCAUGGUGCCUGCAUCCCUGCAGCAAUGCAUCCCCAUUGCAUCCCUAUUUCAUCCCCAUAGUGCCUCCAUCCCUGCACCACAACAUCCCCAUUGCACCCCCAUGGUGCCUGCAUCCUUGCAGCAAUGCAUCCCCAUUGCAUCCCUAUUUCAUCCCCAUGGUGCCUGCAUCCCUGCACCACAACAUCCCCAUUGCACCCCCAUGGUGCCUGCAUCCCUGCAGCAAUGCAUCCCCAUUGCAUCCCCAUGGUGCCUGCAUUCCUGCACCACUGCAUCCCCAUUGCAUCCCCAAGGUGCCAGCAUCCCUGCACCACUGCAUCCCCACUGCAUCCCCAUGGUGCCUGCAUCCCUGCACCUCUGCGUCCCCAUUGCAUCCUCAUGGUGCCAGCAUCCUUGCACCCAAUGCUUCCCCACUGCACCCCAUAGAACAGCAUCCCUGCACCACUGCAUCCCCACUGCAUCCCCACGGUGCCAGCACCCCAGCACCCAGCACAUCCCUGCAUCCACCCUGCACGGCUCUUCGUGGAUGAGUCGCAGCUCCAAAGGGAGCAGCAGACCCCCCCGCUCCCCUCCCCAGGAGCAGCAGCAGCAGAUGGGCAAAGAGAUGCAGGCAGCAGAUCCUGCGCACGGCGCGUGGGAUGGGAGGUGCUGGCAGCGGGGAAACGCGUGCGCCGAGGGGAGAGGAAACAUCUGGCAGAGCAGCAGGGCUGAGCAAUGCCGGAGCUGCGCCCAAACAUCUGGAUUGCCCUGGAAACGGGGGGGAGGGAGGGGACAAGAAAGGGGGGACAAACUCCCCGAGCAACCCGGGGUGCUGCUGGGGGGGGCUGUGGGGUGGAUGCUGCCUGCUGUGCUCAGCUCUGCCUCCCCCUCCGUGCUCCUCUCCUCUUCCCAAACCCAAUUCCUCAGCCAUCACAUCUCCGCCCUCCCGCCGCUCCCCAGACCCCCCCAUCCCUUCCUGACCCCCCCCAGCACCCCGCUGUGCUCACAGCUCUGUGCCCCACGGUGCGUGUGGGGUCACCAGUGGCGACACCGUGGCGUUUGGGGGGGGGCAAGAGACGGACAGCAGCUGUGGGGCAGGGGGGGAAAACAGCCCCCAACCGCAGCGGCACGAGGAGGGGAUGCUAUGGGGUCGGGGACGCCAUGGGGUCGGGGAUGCUGUGGGGUCAAAUGAGGAGCCUAUGGGGCGGGAGGGGGGUCCACAGCUGCGGGGCACCCCAGGGAGCGCAGCGGGAUGACUCAGAGGAGGAGAUGGAGGAGAGGCCUGGAGCUGCGCCCGGCCGCAGCGUGACCCCAUGCCGCGGCCAUAGGGUGGGGGCCCUUCCCUCCGCCCCCACGGCGUCGCCGUGCCCCCGCAUUGUCCCCACGGGAGCAGCCCCUUCCCCCACAGCCCAUCCCGUGACUCCCCCUCGCCCUCCCCUUGUUUACUCUCCUUCCUGCGCACACCCACACCCCCCUGACACCCCAACCCCGUGCCCACCCCACACCGCUCCACCCCGGGGCUCCUCAUGCACCCCCUCUGCUCUAUCUGUAAGCUUGCACCCCC